ACUCUCUAAGAUGUUUUACUUAGUCUUUUUGGUCAACUCAUCUGUAGGUAGCCCUUUUUGUGACAUCCACAACCAACUAUGAUGCCAAAUAAUAAGCACCUAAGCUCUGCAGGUAGCUCUUUUGGGUCAUUUACUCAUUUAUAUUGAUUUGCACCUAUAUAGUUGUGAAAUUUUUAUUAAAGAAUGUCAGGCCUUUUGUCAAGAUUUUGUCCAAGUCUGUAACUUAGGAAGGGUUUAUCCCCAAAGGUAUUUAGGAAACAUAUUUUGAAAGGGAAAAGCUCAAGCUACUUCCAAAAGGGGUACUGGAUAUCCUGAUCUUUGGCCAUCACCUUCCUGUAGGGAGCCACUAGAUGUUUCAAAGACUUUUACUUUUGAUGUCAUUUCUGGUAUUCUGACAGAAUCACAAUUACCUACAAAAUCCACUGUAACUGUGAAAACAGAGGUUAACAAAAACAAUAUGGUUCAAGAUGAUGACCUCACUUCCUUGCUCAAGCUUACUAGAAAAGAUAAUGAUGAAGUUGUUCGCAUACUAGCAGCAAAGGCAAUUGCCAAUUUAUCCAUGAAUGGAAAUUGAUGAACCUGCAUUGAAGGAGGACAUUUGUUUAUUUUGUGCUUUGCAGGAUUCAAUUACAAUUGAUGAAGACCUUUUAGACAUUUUAGCAAAUAGCUCUAAAUCAUAAGAGACCUUUGUUGUAAUUUCUUUGGAUCAUGACAUCAUUGACUAUUCAUUUUGUCUUUUCAAUGGUUUCCUUGGUAUCUCAAGGACAUGAUAAACUCAUAAAUUUUGCAUUACUCUAAUAAAUGGGUAUUUGGUGUUAUUGCAAA